GGAUCCAGACUUUGAUUCUGGCUCAGGAUGAACGCUAGCUACAGGCUUAACACAUGCAAGUCGAGGGGAAACGACAUCGAAAGCUUGCUUCUGAUGGGCGUCGUCCGGCGCACGGGUGAGUAACGCGUAUCCAACCUGCCCACCACUUGGGGAUAACCUUGCGAAAGUAAGACUAAUACCCAAUGACGUCUCUAGAAGACAUCUGAAAGGGAUUAAAGAUUUAUCGGUGAUGGAUGGGGAUGCGUCUGAUUAGCUUGUUGGCGGGGUAACGGCCCACCAAGGCUACGAUCAGUAGGGGUUCUGAGAGGAAGGUCCCCCACAUUGGAACUGAGACACGGUCCAAACUCCUACGGGAGGCAGCAGUGAGGAAUAUUGGUCAAUGGACGAGAGUCUGAACCAGCCAAGUAGCGUGCAGGAUGACGGCCCUAUGGGUUGUAAACUGCUUUUAUAAGGGAAUAAAGUGAGUCUCGUGAGACUUUUUGCAUGUACCUUAUGAAUAAGGACCGGCUAAUUCCGUGCCAGCAGCCGCGGUAAUACGGAAGGUCCGGGCGUUAUCCGGAUUUAUUGGGUUUAAAGGGAGCGUAGGCCGGAGAUUAAGCGUGUUGUGAAAUGUAGAUGCUCAACAUCUGCACUGCAGCGCGAACUGGUUUCCUUGAGUACGCACAAAGUGGGCGGAAUUCGUGGUGUAGCGGUGAAAUGCUUAGAUAUCACGAAGAACUCCGAUUGCGAAGGCAGCUCACUGGAGCGCAACUGACGCUGAAGCUCGAAAGUGCGGGUAUCGAACAGGAUUAGAUACCCUGGUAGUCCGCACGGUAAACGAUGGAUGCCCGCUGUUGGUCUGAAUAGGUCAGCGGCCAAGCGAAAGCAUUAAGCACCCCACCUGGGGAGUACGCCGGCAACGGUGCAACUCAAAGGAAUUGACGG
rnacentral:rRNA from 2 species